rnacentral:rRNA from 1 species
GACGAACGCUGGCGGCGUGCCUAAUACAUGCAAGUAGAACGCAGUUGCGAACGGGUGAGUAACGCGUAGGUAACUGCCUCAUAGCGGGGGAUAACUAUUGGAAACGAUAGCUAAUACCGCAUACUGUGAGAUGGACCUGCGUUGUAUUAGCUAGUUGGUGAGGUAAAGGCUCACCAAGGCGACGGUACCUAGCCGGCCUGAGAGGGUGAUCCGCCACACUGGGACUGGGACCAGGGCCAGGAUCCCACGGGAGGGAGCAGUAGGGAAAUUUCGGACAUGGACGGAAGUCUGACCGAGCAACGCCGCGUGAGUGAAGAAGGUUUUCGGAUCGUAAAGCUCUGUUGUUAGGGAAGCGGUAACUAAACAGAAAGGGACGGCUAACUACGUGCCAGCAGCCGCGGUAAUUC